rnacentral:rRNA from 2 species
UGACCUCGGAUCAGGUAGGACUACCCGCUGAACUUAAGCAUAUCAAUAAGCGGAGGAAAAGAAACCAACAGGGAUUGCCCCAGUAACGGCGAGUGAAGCGGCAACAGCUCAAAUUUGAAAUCUGGCCUUCGGGUCCGAGUUGUAAUUUGGAGAGGAUGCUUCUGGCAAGGCGCCGUCCGAGUUCCUUGGAACAGGACGCCGUAGAGGGUGAGAGCCCCGUACGGGCGGCCGCCGAGCCUCUGUGAAGCUCCUUCGACGAGUCGAGUAGUUUGGGAAUGCUGCUCAAAAUGGGAGGUAAAUUUCUUCUAAAGCUAAAUACCGGCCAGAGACCGAUAGCGCACAAGUAGAGUGAUCGAAAGAUGAAAAGCACUUUGAAAAGAGGGUUAAAAAGUACGUGAAAUUGUUGAAAGGGAAGCGCCUGUGACCAGACUUGCGGCCCGCGGAUCAUCCGGUGUUCUUCACCGGUGCGCUCCGCGGGCUGCAGGCCAGCAUCGGUUUUCCUGGGGGGACAAAGGUCGCGGGAACGUAGCUCUUUCGGGAGUGUUAUAGCCCGCGGCGUCAUGCCUCCGGGGGGACCGAGGACCGCGCUUCGGCAAGGAUGCUGGCGUAAUGGUCACCGGCGACCCGU